rnacentral:tRNA from 1 species
CCGCCGGUAGCGUAGUGGUCAUAGCACCAGACUCGUAUUCUGGAGGUCGUGGGUUCGGAUCCCACCCGGCGGG